UUCCUCCCACUGAAGCGAGUGUUUUCCAAACCCUGUCUCUCAGAGAGACUUGUCACUUAGAAAAUGUUCCCUGAUUAUGAAACUUUGGCUGAAUAGUGCUUGUUCCUGUCUCCAAUGUGGCGACGCAUCCAGGAGCCGUCUGAGGAGAAUCCCAGAAUCUGACAUCCUCCAGCUCAGGAAGCGCAUAUGAUUACGCACAAGCGUGACGCGUCAACCCGGUCUCACAGUAAGACCGGGUUGGACCUGUUCAGGUUUACGCAGACAAUCUUUACAUUUAGAAUUGGCAUACAGAUGUAAAAUUAAUGCAGUAAAAUAUAAAGCAUUUUAUUUAAAUAUCCAUUCAUUAUUUUACAAGCACAGAGAGCCGCAUCAGAUGGAUGGAAGAGCCGCAUGCGGCUCCAGAGCCGCGGUUGCCGACCCCCGACAUAGACAUAGGGAGAGAAUCUCAUUAUGUCACGUUGCUGCAUCGAUGCGGAAUCGUGCACGGCUGAAUCGCGAUGCAUCUUAGAAUCGAUCAUUUUUCCCACCUCUAAUGUCCACCACAGUGGACAGUGUGUAUUCUGAACCUGAAAUAUGUUGGCUGGACUUACUGAAGUCCACAUAGAGGGGCUCAAAUGCAAUAAAGUCUUCAACAGCUGUGCUUAAUAGCAAAAACAAAUAAGUAAAUUAGAGAACCCGUCCACUUAAAUGACCACUUUGCAUCAAGGAGUUAAUUUUUUUAUCCUUAUAUUCUAAUUAGGUUACCGUCAGGCCUCAAUUGAUAAGUCCUUAUAUUAGCUCAGAGCACAGCAGCUGUUGUUUGGGUUAUUUUUGAGCCUGGCUGUGCUCUCUCUCUCUGUUUCACAUCUUCAACCCUUUUUUCUCUCCACCGCUCUGUGCAUCCUCGCACCCAUAAUACAUUUGUGACACGUCAGGGGUUAUCAAAGUCAUGUUUUUCAUCAAUCCUCAGAUAAUUUUCAGAUCAUUUCCACGUUUCCUGGAUUGACAUUUCCAUCAAUGUACAAUAUUUACUCAAAAGGUAUUUUGUGAGUUCUAAUUUCCCCCAUAUAGAUACCACACCGUCUCUUCUUUGGCAUGAGGUCGGAUUUAGGCUUACGAGUCCGCCCUCUAACUGUGUGUCUAAACACUGCAGGACUCACUUACCAGCCAACCUGUUUAAAAGUCUGACCACCAACUUGACACGUGUGCAAAUGAGUUGCAAUAUCCUUUCUACAAGAAUAAGCAAGUCCAGACACUCUCUCAGUCAUUCGAACAACAGAUAAAGCAGACAACAUCUAAGACAAACAAACAACAACAACAGAUAACUACAGCACAUUUCUAUUUCUCCAGCAAAACGCUUCAAACCAGGCCAAACUCAGACAGCAUUUAGAGAAUCUGUCAAAACCGUCCUAUUCACGGUAGACAAAACCAAUUUAGCCUCUUAGUUACCACACCAGUCUACUUAUCAACACCAGAAUUGCAUUUAUACUUUCGACUAAAAUGCACAAAACCAAGCCAAUACAGCUGUCCGGGAAUCUGUUUACCAGUCCUUUCACGGUGAACAUAACCAAUUUAUUCUUCACCCAGUUUUCUGCAUCAAAACUAGAGUAACGUUUCUAUUUUCGGCUAAAACACCCAAAAUCCUUUCACAGUGGAUUAAACCAAUUUAUUUCUGGUGACCUAGGAUUUUCUCUCGGUACCACAAAGACAAAACAACAAACUUGUCUCCCCAAAUCUCUCCACUCAGGUCUUGAGUAGUUCGUGGAUCCGCAUUUCCUCCCAGCGACGUCAAGACCCUCACCGACCCCCCUGCAAAACUCAGCGCUGGAGGAGAUUUAGGUUGUCGACAGUUCUCCGGCGUCGGCUCUAUGCGCCGCGAGGUGACGGGACCCUGGCUCGAAGGACCAAAUUAUGUCACUGAUUUGAUCAAAAUGUUUACCAAUAAACCCAUUUCCUGAAGUUGAAGAGAAAUGGGACAAGAAACAAUGAGGCAGACAUACAACCAAGUCAUGAUUUAGUGGCAAGUGCGCAGGGCAAAUGCCCUGAACAGUUGGUCACAGAGUUUAUUUAUACCAAGAGAUAAGAGAGAAAUGGGAGUGGAUCAUGUGUGAGUGAGAGUGUGUGUGUAUGUGUGGGAGGACAAGAAUGUGCGUGUGCAUGUGUGUGUGUGUGUGUGUGUGUGUGUGUGUGUGUGUGAGAAUGCUUUCAGGACAUUCAGUUAAUAGAUCUGUUGAUAGGACUAAAGUAAUGAAAUAUAACAUUUCCAUAACAGAGCCUCAUUAACCCCUGGAGCUCCACCUUAGCAAUUUGGUUUUUGGCAGCCAUCUUAGGUUAAGUCUUUGUCUCUUGGACAAAAAAGCUUUUUAGUUUUAGUGAGCUUUAGUCGACAAAAAUUUAGAUUUUUAGUAGGGAUGAGCGAGUACACCACUAUCUGUAUCUGUUCAACCAACUAAAUUAUCUGUACCUGUAUCUGUACUCGGAAUGGGCGUGGCAUAACCCGGAAGUGGGCAUGGUUUAACAUGAAGUGGGU
ensembl:lncRNA